rnacentral:miRNA from 1 species
UUGGAUGGGAGGAAUUUGAGAG